rnacentral:rRNA from 1 species
UACAGAGGUCUCAAGCGUUGUUCGGAUUCAUUGGGCGUAAAGGGUGCGUAGGCGGCGCGCUAAGUCGGGUGUGAAAUUUCGGAGCUUAACUCCGAAACUGCAUUCGAUACUGCCGUGCUUGAGGACUGGAGAGGAGACUGGAAUUUACGGUGUAGCGGUGAAAUGCGUAGAUAUCGUAAGGAAGACCAGUGGCGAAGGCGGGUCUCUGGACAGUUCCUGACGCUGAGGCACGAAGGCCAGGGGAGCAAACGGG